ACAAACUUGGUCAUUUAGAGGAAGUAAAAGUCGUAACAAGGUUUCCGUAGGUGAACCUGCGGAAGGAUCAUUAUCGAGUUAGGGUCGCCUCCAGGUGCCCGAUCUCCCAACCCUCUGUCUAUGUUACCUUAGUUGCUUCGGUGGACCGGACGACGACCAACUGGUCGCGGCCGCCGGUCUUCUCGGACUGGAAAGUCGUCCGCCGAUGGCCCACACAAAACUCUUAUACCCGAAACCUGUCGUCUGAAUUAUACUUGAUGUUAAAUCAAAAACAAAACUUUCAACAACGGAUCUCUUGGUUCUGGCAUCGAUGAAGAACGCAGC
rnacentral:misc_RNA from 1 species